AUCCUGGCUCAGAUUGAACGCUGGCGGCAUGCCUUACACAUGCAAGUCGAACGGCAGCACGGGGCAACCUGGUGGCGAGUGGCGAACGGGUGAGUAAUGCAUCGGAACGUGCCAUUGAGUGGGGAUAACGUAGCGAAAGUUGCGCUAAUACCGCAUAUUCUGUGAGCAGGAAAGCAGGGGACCGCAAGGCCUUGCGCUCUUUGAGCGGCCGAUGUCAGAUUAGCUAGUUGGUGAGGUAACGGCUUACCAAGGCGACGAUCUGUAGCGGGUCUGAGAGGAUGAUCCGCCACACUGGAACUGAGACACGGUCCAGACUCCUACGGGAGGCAGCAGUGGGGAAUUUUGGACAAUGGGCGCAAGCCUGAUCCAGCCAUGCCGCGUGAGUGAAGAAGGCCUUCGGGUUGUAAAGCUCUUUCGGCCGGGAAGAAAUCGCAUGGGUUAAUACCCUGUGUGGAUGACGGUACCGGAAUAAGAAGCACCGGCUAACUACGUG
rnacentral:rRNA from 1 species